UGCCCAGAUGGGAUUAGCUUGUUGGUGAGGUAACGGCUCACCAAGGCGACGAUCCCUAGCUGGUCUGAGAGGAUGACCAGCCACACUGGAACUGAGACACGGUCCAGACUCCUACGGGAGGCAGCAGUGGGGAAUAUUGCACAAUGGGCGCAAGCCUGAUGCAGCCAUGCCGCGUGUAUGAAGAAGGCCUUCGGGUUGUAAAGUACUU
rnacentral:rRNA from 2 species